rnacentral:misc_RNA from 1 species
GAUGAAGAACGCAGCGAAAUGCGAUAAGUAGUGUGAAUUGCAGAAUUCAGUGAAUCAUCGAAUCUUUGAACGCACAUUGCGCCCCUUGGUAUCCCGAGGGGCAUGCCUGUUCGAGCGUCAUUUCACCACUCAAGCCUGGCUUGGUGUUGGGCGACGUCCUCUUUGGGGACGCGCCUCGAAACGCUCGGCGGCGUGGCACCGGCUUUAAGCGUAGCAGAAUCUUUCGCUUUGGAAGUCGGGGCCCCGUCUGCCGGAAGACCUGCUCGCAAGGUUGACCUCGAAUCAGGUAGGAAUACCCGCUGAACUUAAGCAUAUCAAUAAGCGGAGGA